rnacentral:rRNA from 1 species
AGUGAACGCUGGCGGUAGGCCUAACACAUGCAAGUCGAACGGCAGCACAGUAAGAGCUUGCUCUUACGGGUGGCGAGUGGCGGACGGGUGAGGAAUACAUCGGAAUCUACUUUUUCGUGGGGGAUAACGUAGGGAAACUUACGCUAAUACCGCAUACGACCUACGGGUGAAAGCAGGGGAUCUUCGGACCUUGCGCGAUUGAAUGAGCCGAUGUCGGAUUAGCUAGUUGGCGGGGUAAAGGCCCACCAAGGCGACGAUCCGUAGCUGGUCUGGGGGCAUGAUCAGCCACACUGGAUCUGAGACACGCUCCAGACUCCUGCGGGAGGCAGCAGUGGGGAAUAUUGGACAAGGGGCGCGAGCCUGAUCCAGCCAUACCGCGUGGGUGAAGAAGGCCUUCGGGUUGUAAAGCCCUUUUGUUGGGAAAGAAAAGCAGCAGGUUAAUACCCCGCUGUUCUGACGGUACCCAAAGAAUAAGCACCGGCUAACUUCGUG